UCUAGACGCCAAGGACUCUAGACACUAGACGCCAAGUUUUGGCCAAAGGAGGGACACGAUCUCCGUAAGGGGUGGGGGGUGAGGGGUGGUGAAGACCUUGUGGCCCUGGGAGGUUGAGUCUUUGUUCAAGGUCACACCUGGUAAAAGGCAAAACUGAGUACUCAGGCACAAAAAAUAGAAGCCAGCCUGAGGUCAGCUGGCUGAGGUCCUAAGUCCAUGUCAGGGGUUAUAUGUGGAUGUUCCCUUUAAUGGCGACCUUUUUAAGCAGGUGUGGAAGGUUAACCCAGGACUGGGUACCAAGAUGUGCAAGUGCCUAGAGGUAAAACUAAAGUCAGGAAUGUUCAAAACCACAGGUCUCCGUUUCUUUCAAGUAGGAAUAAAUAGCAAGUGGAUAGGUGUCAUGACAAGAGUGACUGCCUGAGCUUCUGGGUGUGUGUUCUAGAAGUAAUGAGAGGUUUUGAUCACAGGAAGGAGGUGAUGUUACCAAGGUCUUAGAAGACUUCAUCUGGCUUCAGAGUGGAAAACAGACUAUGAGCUUGAGGGAGCAAGAAGGACAAUCAUUGUGGUGGCUACUGCUAUAGUCCAGACCUUGCCCUCCUUUGCAGAAAGAACAGAGUCCUCCUGCACGGCACAUAACCAGGACCCCGCCGCACAACUACCAAGCACCGAGACAACAUCUAUAACUGGCACCAUCGAGUUUGCCCGUGACCAAGAAAUGUGGCAGGUCACGGCACUCCCUUUGCUGAGUAGCUGUCCUAAACCCUUUUACCAACCCCUGGGCCAGGUAGAAACCUCAGAGUUGGCGUUUGGACAAGAGUCCUCUUCUCCCCAGGUUGCCGGCCUUGUAUAUAAAGCUCAAAUUCCUUUCCAAUUAAAACUGGUCUCUUGAGUAAUGAUCUUUCAGGCGACUGCCAGCCAAACUUGGGUUCAGUAACACUUUCUUUGUGCUGAUCCCAGAAAUUUGCUAUAGACAUAAAAUACAGAUGAAAUAAUGUGCACCCAGCUCCCCAGGACCAGUAAUAAAGUACACGGGGUGUGCAGUUUUGUAACUGAUCACAGAAAGUUUUCAAAGACUAUUCAUUCAUCGGGCUCUCCAGAGCAACAGAACCGAGAGAGAGAGAGAGAGAGAGAGAGAGAGAGAGAGAGAGAGAAACGUCAUAUUCAUUUUUUCCUCGGUAAUAUUGGCUUAAUGGAGACACAAGAGAGAAAGGAGAGAGAUUUUAAAGGAACUGGUUCACAAAAAUGUGGAGGCUGGAAAAGUCUAAGAUCUUAGAUCUUAGAUCUAAACUGGAGGUCCAGGGAAUAGUGGAUGUUCAGCGCUAGUCUGAAGCCAGUCAAGAGACAGAAUUUCCUCUGUCUGUGGAAUCCCUGACUGUGCCCUUCUCAUCUGAAAAUAUAUUGCAUAUUUUAGCUAUUUGUUUUGUUUGAAGUUUAUCUUUCCUGAUGGUAACAUUGGCUUAAUAGAGGCAGGUUCUUUGCCAGACAUUUUCUUCCUCCUACUUCUCAUACAGAAGAAUAAGGUGUGACACACAUUGCAUGCUUAACAUGUACCUAUUGAAGCAGUGAAUAAAAGUAUACCUACCUUGUCCCUGUU